UCAUGGUUGCCUUAGUCCGUGAGUUGGAAACGAGGCUCUGCCUCUCCUUCUCACAUCAAGGGGGGGCCUUCGGUACCCCGAUCCAGGCGGACGACACUGUCGGGCGAGAAGCGUCCCUAAGGCGGCGCAUCCGUU
rnacentral:rRNA from 1 species